UCGCCGCCAUGACCUCCCUCCCGAGCGCGCGUCGUCCGGCCCUCUUCCCCAGCGCGUGUAGACAGUUCAACAUGCAACCAUGGGCCGUUCAAUGUCUCCGCCGUGGACAUGCCCCUCUACCUCCUUCUGGUUGCCUGUCACCCUGGUGUGGCCAGGGCGUUUGGGUUCGCUGCCGCUGCGACCAGCAGUCCAACCCGGCCGCCCUAGGUAGUUCACCCGUCGCAGCUCCCAGGGACAGAGAAGUGAGCAAAAGGAGAAAUUGAUCAAUUGCUCAUUAUGCAACGGUGGUUUUCCUAUGCACAUGUUGACACAAUGUAUCAUCAAAAUGGGUAUGAUCAAAAUUCCUCUCAUAGGAUUUGCUAUAAAAUGUGUACAUCUUUGUAGGCUUUUUCAGUUGCUAGCAAAAAUAUAUUUGUAGAAUUCAAGAUAAAAAGUGAAAUCAGUUAGUUGAUGGAAAAUAAUUCACUUAGAUAUGUAUACACUGCAGUAGCAGUUCGAAUCAAAAAAAUUCUACAGUUUGUUAGACCAAAACUAGAAACACAUAUUGUGGUUUAGGGCCUAGACAACAAAAACUUCAGUAACUAAAUCAUUUCUCCACUUAGAGCAAUUUUCAUGUGUGAUCUGUACUUUAGGUGCUAAUAUAAGAAUUUGUGUCCUCAGGGAGUUCAUGUAUUACUACCAUAGGAGUUCAAAAACUACACAAUGAAAAAGUUCGCCCCACAGUACGUUUAAACAAAGAUACUCUAGAACGUUUAUUGGAAAGAAUACUUAACAUGAGCGGCAUGUUUGUUUUAGUGUGCCUAAAGAAUGGCCCGAGGACACAAAUGUAGCCUUUCUUCACUGUUUCUCUUGCUUAUUAAGAUCUGAAUUCAUAACUUAUCUUGAACUAGAUGUUGCUGCAGUUUGGGGAUUUUAUAUUAUAUGUCAUUUGGGGAUUUUAUAUUAUAUGGCAUUUGGGGAUUUUGCAGCAGUUUGCCAAUAAAGGUUUACACCUCUUUAGAUUAUGAAAAGCUAGCAAGUUCAGACUCUGGAAGGAGAGACCAUCGUUUGUUAAGGUCUGGUCUUUAGUUGGUGGUUAUGUGGUACCUACACCAUCACUUUGCAUCAAGACCUCAAGAAGAGAUAUCAUCUCAAGGUGAAAAAAAAUCCUUUUACUGGUCUCUUUCUUCUCUCACUCAUUCAUCUUAUUAUAUGCACACAAAAUUCAUGUCAUCCUGAAUUUGUUACACUGGUGCGGGAGCAAGAAGUAGAUGCACAAGUUCAUCUUCAGUGACACACUCGGUUCAAAUUCUAAUUUUUAGUUAGUACAAUUCUUAUUUGUUUACUUCAGCGCCGAUUUCUGACUUCCUCGGCCAUCACCACCACCUCAUGUAAGUUCACUACUGAGAUCAAGCACGACCACCUACAGUCUCAGGUGGUCGCCUUGGCCGCCCUCGGCCACGAGCUCGUCCACCAUGGUUACUCGCAGCCGUCCAAGUGGAGCACGGACAUCAGUCCAUGUAGAAUUGAAGCCACCAUCUUCACCAAGCAGAAUAGUUGUGCUAGUUCAAUUUUUUUAGUCCAUCUUCUCUGUGCUAUUCAGUACAUCUAAUGCCAAAUCAUAAAUACAAUUGCCUCAUCUUCAUAUAACAUUCAGGAAUUCAAUUUAUAAUGUUGUUUACUGUCCUAAUUUUUUGGUACCAGGUGAAGUAAUAAUCAUCUACAUUUCAGAAGAGUUGCCAACCAUUAGCACUGUACUCUAGCUAGGCAAAAUGCAUAUUGUCUAUAGUUUAUUUUUAUAGUACUGCUGUGAAUGUAGACACAUAAUUACCUCCUAGAGUAAUUAUGCCUUGCAUGAAGCUUAAGCAUUUUCCUCAUCAAGAAGCAGCUGUUGGAUGGAUGUUGAAUCGAGGGCAAAACUCUAAGCCCUUAAUGCAUACUCUGUGCAAGAAUUUCUCCAAAGAGGAUGGCUUUCUUUACUUCUUAAUUGUUAGAACUCCAUUUAAUUUAGGGGCCGCAUGCCCAAGCCGUUCACCUCCGCCACCGUAACUUGCUGGCUUUGAUCUUCCGUGGAAGCAUGAAUGAUCAGUACUCCCUUUAAUCAAUGUGCGCUCAUCGAGCCAUAGUAGCAUCUCAUUUGUCCUAAAUUCUUCCACUCUUUGGAAAGAAAGACCCAGAAUGGAUGUGAACAGAGUAUACUCCCAUGGUUUUGCGAGAAAUCGUACAAUCAGAGUACCAUAGUACAUGUGUGUAUUGUGAUUUUAAUUGUGAGUUGGAGUUCAGAAAUAAGAUAACAAAAAGGUACAUAAAAGAACCCAAAAGCAUCUGGUACUUCUUGAAACCUAAAGUUCUGUUCAACAUGUUUUUUAUCAUCAACUCGUUAAGAACCCCACAAAUGGUUCAAUGUGUGUGUUCAAAAAGAUAGCUGGCUAUAUAUAAAAAAUCAGUAGCUCGUCAAAAAGGAGUUCAUAUCAGUUCAGGCUUUAGAGGCCUUGUAAAAUCACCAGUCUUUGAACCUUUAACCUGUCAUUAUAUUGCUGACUCCCCUAUAUGUAGGUGCUUGUCCAGCAGGCUAUAGAAGGCUAUAUAUAAAUGUUGUUUUUGAUGUCUUGUAGUACAUAGAAGGCUUAAAAAAUCAUGUUUAUCUAGUUGAAAAUUUGGAUGUUAUGUAGGUACUUGUUAGGACUUGGCCACGAGCUCGUCCAGCAGGGGUGCUGGCAGCCGUCCAAGUGGAGCAUUGAAAACAGUACAAGUAGAAUCACAGGUUGCAGCCACCAACUUGACCAAGUGCUGCACAUCCGUCCAAGUCGAGCACACACACACAGGGAGAACACCGGCGCCUUUGCUUUGCACAUUGCUUGGUCAUGCAUAAUUGCUGAUGGAUGCAGCAAGUGUUUUAUUACUUUGAUCUUCUACAAGACUCAAUUUUGUCUCAGUUUUCGUGGAUGCUAGCCAGCAAGUGACAUAAUUUUGGUUGCCAUUUCUCUAUGUAGCAGAUUCCAUCUGCACAAAAAAUGCUACUGCAAAUUCUUCUAUGUAAAAUAUGAAUAAGGUUCAAUUCACAAAAACAUUUGGAAGUUCGCUUGGGAAA